rnacentral:RNase_P_RNA from 1 species
CAAGGUGGCCGGGCGGCCGCUGUCCCGGUUAUUGCCGGGAGAGAGGAAAGUCCGAGCUCCACCGGGCAGGAUGCCCGCUAACGGCGGGGCGGGGUGACCCGACGGAAAGCGCCACAGAAACAUACCGCCUGUUUCGGCAGGCAAGGGUGAAAAGGCGAGGUAAGAGCUCACCGCCCUGGUGGUGACAUCAGGGGCCAGGCAAGCCCCAUCCGGAGCAAGGCCUAAUAGGGGGACAAGGUUCGCCCGGACCGUCCCCGGGUUGGCCGCUGGAGCCUGUCGGCAACGGCAGGCCUAGAUAGAUGGUCGUCGUCCGCGCAAGCGGAAACAGAACUCGGCUUACAGGCCACCUUGGCCA